CAAUCUGUGCGUGUUGUAAACUAAUCCCAGAAUUGAAUUCUUGGUACUUAGACUGAGAAUCAAUUAGAUGCAACAUCUCAUUAUCGAAACAACCUUCAAGAGAAGGGAUUUCCAUGGGGAAGAACCCAUCUGGCACAUCUGGUUUUUCCAUGCUUUCCCAAUGAAUCAAGCAAAGAUUAAAAACAGAUACACUAUGGAAAGUGUAGGAUUCUGCAUUUGAAAUCAAUGAAACUUCUUGAAUUACAGAUCCCAUUAAAAAGUCAUGGAUGACGAUAACCUUUCUUGCUUCGCUGGAAAGAGAACGCGGAAGCACAGACACAGGCUCUUGCAGGUGAGAUGAGGCGUACUCUAAAGCUGGCAGCAAAUGAGAAGGGAACUUGUUCUUGGCAUCUGGUUUGGGAGGAGGGCAAGGUAAAUGAGAGAUUUCAAAGUCAUGGAAAUGAAUAUAAGAGGUGGCGUUUACAUCCCAGCCGUUAACGCGGAGCUUGACCUGGAGGUUGUGGGUGGCGCCGCCGACAAAGUGGACGGG
rnacentral:misc_RNA from 1 species